GCCCCCUUCAAGAGCUAAGCCAAUGCGAGUGCCGGAGAUAAGCGCCGGAUGGGGAGCAGUAU
rnacentral:sRNA from 11 species